rnacentral:lncRNA from 1 species
AUAUAUUUCCGGUUUCGCACAUCUGUCAUCGUUUAAUACAAAACUCUCGUGUAUAUUCAUACAUGUACGUACUUAAAGGAAAAAGGAAACCACGAAUAUUUCAUAUUAGAGAUGCAGAAAUAGGAAUGUAACCAGAAAUAAGAAAUGUUUGACGACAAAACUGUUCAUCCAAGAAUCGAGAAGUAUUACAUCGUUUCUGUUUAAGGAUUCUAUUUUCCACGAGCUAUUGCAAGUGAUAUGUGAAAGGUGAUAUUCAGAAGCGGAGUAUACAUUAUACAACUGGUGCUUGUAGAAGUGGGCUGGAUGAUAAAUCUUCCUACUGAAUCAAAUAAAAGCAAAGGUGUUCUCAUGCAUAAAUUCCGCACGUGUGCUAUGAUGUACAUAUACCGAUGAGAUAGUACUUACAUGAUCAUAGCCAUUGUACAGUUCUGGCCAGAGACAAGAACCUGGCUCCACGACAUUUCUCUGCUUCCUGGAUCUUAGAUAGAUAUCUUGUUGUAAUAUAUUAAAGCGUACCGCGUACCAUUGGUAGAGAAACAAAAAUAUGAAAACU